AGAAUCAACGCUGGCGGCGUGCCUAACACAUGCAAGUCGAACGAGAAAGGGGAGCAAUCCCUGAGUAAAGUGGCGCACGGGUGAGUAACACGUGACUAACCUACCCUGGAGUGGGGGGAUAACUGAGGGAAACCUUAGCUAAUACCGCAUAACACCUACGGGUCAAAGGAGCAAUUCGCUUUGGGAGGGGGUCGCGGCCGAUUAGUUAGUUGGCGGGGUAAUGGCCCACCAAGACAGUGAUCGGUAUCCGGCCUGAGAGGGCGCACGGACACACUGGAACUGAAACACGGUCCAGACUCCUACGGGAGGCAGCAGUGGGGAAUUUUGCGCAAUGGGGGAAACCCUGACGCAGCAACGCCGCGUGGAGGAUGAAGUACUUCGGUACGUAAACUCCUUUCGAUCGGGACGAUAAUGACGGUACCGGAAGAAGAGCCCGGCUAACUUCGCGCCAGCAGCCGC
rnacentral:rRNA from 1 species